UACGGAGGGUGCAAGCGUUGUUCGGAAUCACUGGGCGUAAAGGGCGUGUAGGCGGCCUGUUAAGUCUGAUGUGAAAUCCCCUCGCUCAACGAGGGAACUGCGUCGGAAACUGGCAGGCUCGAGUACCGGAGAGGAAGGUGGAAUUCCCGGUGUAGCGGUGAAAUGCGUAGAUAUCGGGAGGGACACCGGUGGCGAAGGCGGCCUUCUGGACGGAUACUGACGCUGAUACGCGAAAGCGUGGGGAGCAAACAGG
rnacentral:rRNA from 1 species